CCAAAGGCUCUUUUAAGAGCCACCCAAAUAUUUCUAAAACGGCGUG
rfam:Loxodonta africana unplaced genomic scaffold scaffold_44, whole genome shotgun sequence.